rnacentral:misc_RNA from 1 species
GUAAGUAAAAGUCGUAACAAGGUUUCCGUAGGUGAACCUGCGGAAGGAUCAUUACAGAGUUCAUGCCCUCACGGGUAGAUCUCCCACCCUUGAAUAUUUAUACCUUAGUUGCUUUGGCAGGCCGUGGAAACACCAUGGGCUCCGGCUUAUGCGUGCCUGCCAGAGGAAACAAACUCUGUUUUUAGUGAUGUCUGAGUACUAUAUAAUAGUUAAAACUUUCAACAACGGAUCUCUUGGUUCUG